ACUUAAAUAGCUUAUUAGAGCAUGAUAUUGAAGAUAUUAAGGAAAUAAUUAUUAUUUUUAAGUA
rnacentral:tRNA from 1 species